UACGUAGGGUGCGAGCGUUUGUCCGGAAUUAUUGGGCGUAAAGAGCUCGUAGGCGGUGUGUCACGUCGGCCGUGAAAACCUGGGGCUUAACUCUGGGCGUGCGGUCGAUACGGGCAUCACUAGAGUUCGGCAGGGGAGACUGGAAUUCCUGGUGUAGCGGUGAAAUGCGCAGAUAUCAGGAGGAACACCGGUGGCGAAGGCGGGUCUCUGGGCCGAUACUGACGCUGAGGAGCGAAAGCCAGGGGAGCAAACGGG
rnacentral:rRNA from 1 species